GCGCAGCGCUGGGCUCCGGGCGCAGGGUGCCCCCGAGGCCCGCCGGAGAGCCACACUGUCGGGCUCUGCUACCAACCUGGCCUCACUGACAGCCGCCCUGGCCAAGGCUGACAGGAGCCACAAGAUCGCGGAGAACCGGAAGUCCUGGGCCAGCUGAGCGCGGGUGCCUGGUGGGCACUGAAGGGGACCUCCCCAAGCAGGGCCGUGAAUGCUUUUUGCACGAUGCAGGGCUGGUGACUUCCCAGUUCCCAGCUCCCUGGGACCCCAGAAGCUUCGCUUCUUCCUUUCCUUGGGGGUGGAGGUUCUGGAAGCCCGGGGCGCUGUGGGGUGGUGGCUGAGGCCCUGAGCCACACAGCCAGGGCUGGGGGUGUCCCUGCUGGGUUCUGUGGUGCCCACCUGUUUUCUACUCUGUCACCCCACUAAUGUCUUAAUUUAAACCCUGGCCCUAAUAGUCCAUGCUGUGCCCAGCAAGGGUUCUGCCCUCCACCCCAAGUGCCAGCUCCCUUAAGUGCCUCGUCUUUGUGGGUGUCCUGGCACCCUUAAACCUGGUUACCAUUUAUUGCCUAACAGGAUGCUUGGAAUGUAUUUAUUUAUAUUUAUUUUUCCAAAUUGACCUCCCUCGUGUCCUCCCAGGCCUCUGCCUUCCGUCCUUGGCUGCCGGCCUCCUGCCUGGUGGCUGUGGAAGGACAGCAGCUCAGCGACGUCUCGGGACCCAGGCCCAGCCCUGGCUCCCCUGGUGUUCCCGUCGCCUCUGUGCCUGCGGUGCUGGCUGCGCUGGGAGGGAGCAGCACAUGUGUGAGUCUGGGGGAGGGCAGUUUGGAUGCGGAAGGGGACAGAUCCUGGCCUAGGCCUGCUGGGCCACCACAGCCCCCAGCUCAGGAGGGAAGCUGGGCGCCCUCAGAGCCCGUUUCUAGUUCCUCCACUUCCACCCCGAACUUGCCCGAAAAGCUUUCGUGGCAGAAUCCCUGGUUCUCGGGUCUGAAGCCAGUGGCAGGAAGUGGUGCCAGGCCCUGACUCUGGGUGGGACAGCCCCGCAGUGGUUCCUGGGAACACAGCCGCAGGUCCCCCACAGUGUGGCCCAGUGCCCAGCUGGUAGCCGAAUCUACUUGGUGUCACUAAUGCGUAUGUGUUACUGUACCCUGGCAGAGCUCUGCAGACCACCUUUCAACCGAAUAGGACCAGGGCUGGGGGGACCGGGUCUUCCUGUUUCCUUGGCAACAUAGCCAGACACCAGGGCUCUGGGCCGGGGGACCUGCCGGGGAGGAUCCUAGCACCAUCCUGUGGGGACAGUGUGGCCCUGAGGGGAGCCCUAGCUGGAGGCAGCAUCAGUUUAGCUUCCUGCCUGUCUUCAGCUGGCACUUGGGGGACAGCUGCCCGGUGUGUCACCAAAUGAGUGCUGUCAGCUUCGUGGGGCUUUCUGCUUGCUCCACCCCAUGCAGCACAGGCCUGGGUAGUUAGAUUUUGUCAUGCGCCACCUGUCCCUUGCGUAUCGUCUGGCCCUGUGGUCUGGGAAGGAGUCAGCACCCCCCAGGACUCCCUGGAGGAAGGGCAGGCCCUGUGUGCUGUGCAGAGGGGAUGUCGUGGAGGCGUGAGACCGUGGGGUGUCACUCACGUGCAGAGUCAUGGGCUUGCCGGAUCCAGGAUCCGGCUGCCCAGGAUGUGGUGUGAGUCACCAGGCGGAGCGGGGGAUGCCGUGCUCUGUGGUCCAUCAGGGUGACUUCCGGUGGAGCAGGAGCUGGAGGAGUGACUGCCCUGAUGGCUGCUUGUAGUGGAGCUGGCAGGUGGCAUGGGGUCUUGAGCUGCCUGGCUGUGCCCUGCUGGCAUCGCAGUCUGAUGGGCGCAGCGACCUCCUCUGCUCCUCCAGACCUGGGCCCGGCCCCCGCCGAGCCCUUGUCCUGCUGCCCCAGGCAGAUGGCGUGGAACCACUGGCCACCUGUUUUGCUCUCCUGGGCUGGGUGCAGCUCGCUCAGCACCCACAUGUUCCUGGGCAGCUUCUCAGGAAUCACGGUGCCUUCCUGGUGGCUGCAGACCCUGAUGGUGUUGGGAGUCUGGGCACAGCUUCUUUAUGUGCAGAUUUUGUAAACAGCAUGAGUUCACAUGAAAGAAGUGGCUUUGAUUCGGGAAUUAUAGUGAUUUGGUACACUUAGGUGGGAGGUAAAAAAUCCAAAGACUGCAAUGAAUUGUAAAGAUGUCAGUGGUUUGCAUUGUACAAUGAACUAAACCUCUGUAAUUUUGUACCAUAUACGCCUUUCCAGCAAAGGACCAGCAGCUUCUAAAUAAAACCAGAUGAUUUCUCGCCUCUGA
rnacentral:lncRNA from 1 species